UUUGUUAGUUGCUAUGGGCGUUCGGUGGAUGUCUUGGCACGAGUGGCUGAUGAAGGACGUGGCGGCCUGCGUUAUUCCCUGGGGAGUUGGCGNNNNNNNNNNNNNNNNNNNNNNNNNNNNNNNNNNNNNNNNNNNNNNNNNNNNNNNNNNNNNNNNNNNNNNNNNNNNNNNNNNGCGAGCGUUGAUCUGGGGGUUUCCGAAUGGGGUAACCUAGUCUCUUUUUUGGGGGCUACUGCAUGCUGAAUUGAUAGGUGUGUGGGAGGUACGAGGGGAAGUGAAACAUCUUAGUACCCUUAGGAGAAGAUAUUUCGUGAGUAGUGGUGAGCGAAAGCGGAUGAUGGCUAAACCGUGUGCGUGUGAUACUCGGCAGGGGUUGCGUGUGCGGUGUUGUGGGGUCUUUUUGUUGCUUGUCUGCCGGCGAGUGGAUUCCGGGAUGAUUGUUUUGGUGAAGGGUUUGGAAUGGCCUGCCGUAGUGCGUGAGAGUCGUGUAGUCUUUGAUGAUUGUUCUGGUUUGGAAAAGGUGCCCGAGUAGUGCGGGGCUCGUGGAAUCUCGUGUGAAUCUGCCCAGACCACUGGGUAAGCCUGAAUACUUACUUGUGACCGAUAGUGGAUUAGUACCGUGAGGGAAUGGUGAAAAGUACCCCGGGAGGGGAGUGAAAUAGUUCCUGAAACCGGGCGCUUACAAGCCGUCAGAGCCUGUUUUGUUGGGUGAUGGCGUGCCUAUUGAAGAAUGAGCCUGCGAGUUAGUGGCAUGUGGCUUGGUUAACCCGUGUGGGGUAGUCGUAGCGAAAGCGAGUCUGAUAAGGGCGUUUGGUCGCGUGUUCUAGACCCGAAGCGGGGUGAUCUACGCAUGGUCAGGUUGAAGCUAUGGUAAGACGUGGUGGAGGACCGAACCCACUUCAGUUGAAAAUGGAGGGGAUGAACUGUGCGUAGGGGUGAAAGGCCAAUCAAACUCCGUGAUAGCUGGUUCUCCCCGAAAUGCAUUUAGGUGCAGCGUUGAGUUUAGGUUUGUGUGAGGUAGAGCUACUGGUUGGUUGAUGGGUCUUGUUGGUUACUGAGACCAGCCAAACUCCGAAUGCGCAUUAAACUGUUGCUUGGCAGUGAGACAGCGGGGGAUAAGCUUCGUUGUCAAAAGGGAAACAGCCCAGAUCGCCGGUUAAGGCCCCUAAGGGUGUGCUUAGUGGGAAAGGAUGUGUAGUUGCUGUGACAGCCAGGAGGUUGGCUUAGAAGCAGCCAUCCUUGAAAGAGUGCGUAAUAGCUCACUGGUUUAGUGAUUGCGCGCCGAUAAUUUAGCGGGGCUUAAGCAUACCGCCGAUACCGUGGCUUCCACAUUUUGCUGGCUGCCUUUUUUUGGGUGGUUGGUUUGUGGUUGGGUAGGGGAGCGUCCUGCAUGAGGUGAAGUUUCGGAGUGAUCCGGGGUGGAUUGUGUGGGAGUGAGAAUGCAGGCAUGAGUAGCGAUUGGAAAGUGAGAAUCUUUUCCGUCUUAUAACUAAGGGUUCCAGGGGUAGGUUCGUCCGCUCUGGGUUAGUCGGGUCCUAAGGCGAGGCCGUCAGGCGUAGUCGAUGGUUAACCAGUUUUUAUUCUGGUACCGGCAUUAUUCUCGUUCAGUGGCGAGGCGCAUAGUACUAACCAAUAUUGUUUCUUGGGAUUUCCUUUUUGGUUUUUCUUUGGGAUGGUCUUGGGACCGAUGUGUGUAGUAGUCAAGCGUGUUAACAGGGGUGACGCAGUUAGAUAGCCUUGCGUCGCGGUGGUUUGCGGCGUUCAAGCAUGUGGCCUAUCGGGUUGGUAAAUCCGCUCGUGUUUGGGUGAGGUGUGAUGGUGACCCUGUUUUUGGGGGAUAUUGGGUGAUUCUGUGCUGUCUAGAAAAGCCUCGGCGUUAGAGGGUGUGCUGCCCGUACCCUAAACCGACACAGGUGGUUUGGUAGAGAAUACUAAGACGUGCGAGUGAAUCAUGGUUAAGGAACUCGGCAAAAUGCCUCCGUAACUUUGGGAGAAGGAGGACCCGGCCUUUUACAUUACUUUUUCGGUUUUGGUGGGGGUUGGGGCGCAGAGACCAGGGGGAAGCGACUGUUUAUCAAAAACAUAGGUGUGUGCGAAGCCGUAAGGCGAUGUAUACGCACUGACGCCUGCCCGGUGCUGGAAGGUUAAGAGGAACCCUUAACUAGUUUUUGCUGGUGAAGGGGUGAAUUUAAGCCCCAGUAAACGGCGGUGGUAACUAUAACCAUCCUAAGGUAGCGAAAUUCCUUGUCGGGUAAGUUCCGACCUGCACGAAUGGCGUAACGACUUCCCUGCUGUCUCGACCGUGAGCUCGGUGAAAUUGCAUUAUGAGUAAAGAUGCUCGUUUAGCGCAGCAGGACGGAAAGACCCCGGGACCUUUACUAUAGCUUGGUAUUGGUGGUUGAUUAUUCUUGUGUAGGAUAGGUGGGAGACUGUGAGGCCGCGCCGCUAGGUGUGGUGGAGUCGUAAUGUGAAAUACCACUCUGGUGUGAUUGGCUGUCUUAACCUUGGCCCGUGAUCCGGGUUGGGGACAGUGCCUGGUGGGUAGUUUAACUGGGGCGGUUGCCUCCUAAAGGGUAACGGAGGCGCUCAAUGGUUCCCUCAUCCUGGUUGGUAAUCAGGUGUUGAGUGUAAGUGCACAAGGGAGCUUGACUGUGACACUGACGGGUGGAGCAGGUACGAAAGUAGGAACUAGUGAUCCGGCAAUGGCUUGUGGAAGCGUUGUCGCUCAACGGAUAAAAGGUACCCCGGGGAUAACAGGCUGAUCUUGCCCAAGAGUCCAUAUCGACGGCAUGGUUUGGCACCUCGAUGUCGGCUCGUCGCAUCCUGGGGCUGGAGUUGGUCCCAAGGGUUGGGCUGUUCGCCCAUUAAAGCGGUACGCGAGCUGGGUUCAGAACGUCGUGAGACAGUUCGGUCCCUAUCCGCUGCGUUCGUUGGAGAUUUGAGGGGGCCUGUCCCUAGUACGAGAGGACCGGGACGGACGAACCUCUGGUGUGCCAGUUGUACCGCCAGGUGCAUGGCUGGUUUGCUACGUUCGGGAGGGAUAACCGCUGAAAGCAUCUAAGCGGGAAGCCUGCCUUGAGAUUAGAUCUCCUUACACUGUUUUUGGUGUGUGAGGGUCCCAGUAGAUGACUGGGUUGAUAGGCCAGGAAUGUAAGGCUCGUGAGGGUUUGAGUUGACUGGUACUAAUAUCCCGAUUACUAACAAAAU
rnacentral:rRNA from 1 species